rnacentral:rRNA from 1 species
GCGGUCUGAGGGCGGUUCGCUUGAUUGAGUGCUACUGCUCCAUAGGCCGUGGUUUUGCCAGAGGUCUCGGGGUGCUCUUAACCGAGUGUCCUGCGAUGCUGGCAGGUUUACUUUGAAAAAAUUAGAGUGCUCAAAGCAGGCUUUUACGCCUGAAUAUUCGUGCAUGGAAUAAUAGAAUAGGAAGUCGUUUCUAUUUUGUUGGUUUUCGGAAAUCGACUUAAUGAUUAAUAGGGACAGUCGGGGGCAUUUGUAUUCAAACGACAGAGGUGAAAUUCUUGGACCGUUUGAAGACAAACUACUGCGAAAGCAUUUGCCAAGAAUGUUUUCAUUAAUCAAGAACGAAAGUUAGAGGUUCGAAGGCGAUUAGAUACCGCC